CGAAUCCAUGAGUACAGUGGCGACCGGGUGAGUAACACGUGACUACUACCCUUGAGUGGGGGAGUAACCUCGGGAAACCGAGGCUAAUACCGCAUAAUAUCGAGAGAUCAAAGGAGCAAUUCGCUUUUGGAGGGGGUCGCGGCUGAUUAGUUAGUUGGCGGGGUAAUGGCCCACCAAGGCGAAGAUCGGUAUCCGGCCUGAGAGGGCGCACGGACCACACUGGAACUGAAACACGGUCCAG
rnacentral:rRNA from 1 species